UCAACUUGAGAGUUUGAUCCUGGCUCAGAACGAACGCUGGCGGCAGGCCUAACACAUGCAAGUCGAGCGCACCGCAAGGUGAGCGGCAGACGGGUGAGUAACGCGUGGGAACCUACCCUAUGGUUCGGAAUAGCCCAGGGAAACUUGGGGUAAUACCGGAUAAGCCCUUCGGGGGAAAGAUUUAUCGCCAUUGGAUGGGCCCGCGUCGGAUUAGCUAGUUGGUGGGGUAACGGCCUACCAAGGCGACGAUCCGUAGCUGGUCUGAGAGGAUGAUCAGCCACACUGGGACUGAGACACGGCCCAGACUCCUACGGGAGGCAGCAGUGGGGAAUAUUGGACAAUGGGCGCAAGCCU
rnacentral:rRNA from 1 species